UACGUAGGGGGCCAGCGUUGCUCGGAAUUACUGGGCGUAAAGGGUCCGUAGGCGGUGCGGCAAGUCGGAAGUGAAAUCUCUGGGCUUAACCCAGAGGCUGCUUCCGAAACUGCCGUGCUAGAGGAUGAGAGAGGCAAGUGGAAUUGCGGGUGUAGCGGUGAAAUGCGUAGAUAUCCGCAGGAACAUCCGAGGCGAAAGCGGCUUGCUGGAUCAUUUCUGACGCUGAGGCGCGAAAGCUAGGGGAGCAAACAGG
rnacentral:rRNA from 1 species